AACACAACACACACUCUCUCUCUUUCUCGGCCGCACGCCCAAUUCUUUGUUACCUCUCCCUUCCAUUUCUCCCUGCCAUCGCUGGAGACCACCAUUUCUGGCCAUCAAUUCACCACACCGCCACGACCAAUCGAAUCAGCACCUCAAUACGAUCAAAACUCAAGUCCAGAUGCUGUUGCACGCGACCCUCCAAUCCACGAUGCUGCUGCUCCCUUACCUUCGUCGAUUUCUGGCCGCCAUCUCACAACACCUCCACCACCGCUUUGAUUCAUCUUCAAUUCUUCAAUCGCCUCAAACUCAAGUAGCAAAGCAGAUGUCCUCAAAGCUCAAGCAGAUUUCUGGAUUCGAUACUUCGAUUCCAGUUUUUGAUUUCAGAUUCUUCAAGCUGGGUUCGAUUUCGAAUUUCUGGGUAACUUGCUUGGUUCGGCUUUCUUCGCUUGGUUCGGAUUGCAUGAUUUGCAUCCCAUAGGACCAUUAUUUUAACAAUUUAAUUUGUCUCAUUUGGUAUUUCUUGUUAAUUGAAUCACUACUUCCUAAAACAAAGGAAUGCAUACAAUUAUCCAUGUUCUCUGUUCUCUCUUUCUCCGACACGGCCGCAUUGGUAAGUCUGGGUUUCUGUUUUGAUUCAAUCAAUCAUUCAAGUAUCUUGGUUUCUGGGUAUUCAGUUUUCUGUCUUCAAGUCUUCAGAUUUCUGGGUCUUUGGUUGUUUGAGUUGAAAACAUUGGUGUUUGGUGAUUGGGUUUUCAGGGAUUUAGUUUGUGAUUGUUGAUUAGAUUGAUAGUUGGUAUAAUUUAAAUAGUUUGACUAUGAUUUAGAAAUGGGUUGGCAUAUUUUAAUGGUAUGUACCGAUAGCAGGGUCUUAGUUUUUGUUACUCUCUCUCUCACUCUCAGAGAUAUACUGAUUUGAUAAUGAGGUUUUUGUACUGGUGUUAAUCUCACUGCCACCCCCUUAUCAUAUCCAUCACAAUCUCUCUCUGUUUUGAGUAUGCGUGAGAAAGUGUGCAAGUAGUCCUCUGUCUGUGAAGAAAUUGAAAGAGUGGGAAUAGAAAGUAGUUUCUGUGGGAGAAGAAGAGCCUCUUUGAGAGUGAGAGAGAGAGAGAGAGAGAUUUUCAUAUGUUGUUGUUGUUCACCAUGAAUUGAUAAAGCUGCGGCCUAUCCCUCAUGUCAGCACAGUACAAGUAAUCAAUAAUUGAAUGAAACCAAUUUAAUACCCACAUACCAAACUAUCUUUCAUUUUUUGUUUUCCCUUUUCUCUAUCUUUCAUUGAAUCCCUUUUCAUGUCAGCACUAUGCAGAUACAUUACUAGCUAGAUAGGUUAACUACCAGAACAUCAUUAGUUACUUAGAAAUAUGACUUGAAAAUAAAGAAGAUUAAUAUACUGUUUUAGCUAGUAAGUUUUUUUUUUCCUCCUCUCGUGGAAAAUUAUAAAGAUUUCAAGAGUUAAAGUUUUAUUUAAAUUGAUUGUUUUCAACGUGAGUUUCAUGGUGUUUCAAUUUAGAUGGGAGUUUAGUGUUUGAACUUAUACAAGCAAUGCAGCUGUCUAUGCUUUCUUUCCUCUAUUGUCGUUCUUUUUGUUUGUUUAGAUGAAGAGUUUCCAUUUAACCGCAACACUUGUGAAUUUGUUUCAGAUUUCUGAACUGCUGGUCAAUGUUACAAAGCAUGUUUUACAGCCAAAGUAUGAGAUACUUACGGCUGAAGAAAAGAAACAUCUGCUAAGGAAGUACAAGUUGGAAGACAACAAGAUUUGUUAGACAAACUUCUCAGAUUUUAUUGUAUUGGACUAUUGGUAUGCUGCUGCCAGUUUUGGACUUUUGGUAGCAAAUGGACAAAUGGUUGUUGUCUUAUUGAGUUGUUGAAUAUCUCAUGGAACAUUUAUCUUGCUCUUAUCCCAUGGUUUGUGAUUACAUUAUUUCUAUGGCAUCGAAACCCAUCUUGAACGAGCUCAAGGAUUUGCAAAAGGAUCCUCCUACCUCGUGCAGUGCUGGUCUCUACUCCUUUUACCCAUCUCCUUCACCCACUUUGCUUCAAUGGAGGCAUGGGAGUUGAUGAUUCUGAAACUGACGCUAUAAUAAAUUGUGAGAUCAAACUAGAAUUCUGAUGUUCAUAUACCUGUUGGAUCAUUUCAUGCCUUGUUAAGAGAUUUGUAUUAGUUUUCUGUUAGCUUGUUUUAAAAUGAACUUUUAGUCAACCAGGUGGCAUUGGGUGAAAAAAGUGCUUAUGUAACUUCCCAUCAUUCAUACAUACAUAAAGGAGAGGCAUCAAGGCUGUUGUUGAUGCAACUUCUGCUGGCAUCUUCAUUGUCAUCACAAAGUGUGUUCUUCAAGACUUGGUUGGUUUCAACAUUUUACUAAAUUUUGUUAGAAAACUAGUUCUGUUGAUGUAAUGACUUUGUUGGAUAUAUGGAUGAAUGUAUCGGAUUUUAACAUAAAUGAAUGUGUUUUGGAUGUGAUGUCA